CCCCGGCCGGGCAGGCCUGCGGCUCGGGGCGAGCGGGCCUUACCUUGGAAGAUGGCCAGGAGGCUGUAGGCAGCCAGGAAGGCAGCAGAAGGGAAGGGAAAAAGCAAAGUGAGUGGAGCUUGCUACAAAAUAUACUGUGUUCAGGAAUAUUUCAACAUACCCAACCACCUUUGUAGUCUGUGCCACACUGACAGAACAAUGAGUGAGGAGACUAGCUGGGAAAGGAAGCAGCGCACCCAAAAUAUCCACCAUCCACCAGUGAAGCCUGGCUUCUUUCC